UUUUAUGAGGUCUCAGUGGUAGAGACGUUGGACUUCUGAUCGGACGGCCGUGGGUUCAAAUCCCAGCACUAACA